rnacentral:tRNA from 1 species
GUGCACUUAUCCUAGUUGGUAAAAAUCAUCACUCAUGAAUUUGAGGAUAUGGGUUCAAAUCCCAUAGUGCACA